UUUCUGUGAUGAAUUCCACUUCACUGGUCCGUGUUUAUGAAGCUUUGUGACUUGACUGGAAGAUCUGAUUAU